AUUGAACGCUGGCGGAAUGCUUUACACAUGCAAGUCGAGCGGCAGCGCGGGGCAACCUGGCGGCGAGCGGCGAACGGGUGAGUAAUGCAUCGGAACAUGUCCAUGUCGUGGGGGAUAGCCCGGCGAAAGCCGGAUUAAUACCGCAUACGCCCGAGAGGGGAAAGCAGGGGACCGCAAGGCCUUGCGCGAUUGGGUUGGCCGAUGUCCGAUUAGCUUGUUGGUGAGGUAAAGGCUUACCAAGGCGAUGAUCGGUAGCUGGUCUGAGAGGAUGAUCAGCCACACUGGGACUGAGACACGGCCCAGACUCCUACGGGAGGCAGCAGUGGGGAAUUUUGGACAAUGGGGGGCAACCCUGAUCCAGCCAUUCCGCGUGAGUGAAGAAGGCC
rnacentral:rRNA from 1 species